rnacentral:rRNA from 1 species
AACGAACGCUGGCGGCAGGCUUAACACAUGCAAGUCGAGCGCCCCGCAAGGGGAGCGGCAGACGGGUGAGUAACGCGUGGGAAUCUACCCAUCUCUACGGAAUAACGCAUGGAAACGCGUGCUAAUACCGUAUACGUCCUUCGGGAGAAAGAUUUAUCGGAGAUGGAUGAGCCCGCGUUGGAUUAGCUAGUUGGUGGGGUAAAGGCCUACCAAGGCGACGAUCCAUAGCUGGUCUGAGAGGAUGAUCAGCCACACUGGGACUGAGACACGGGCCAGACUCCUACGGGAGGCAGCAGUGGGGAAUAUUGGACAAUGGGCGCAAGCCUGAUCCAGCCAUGCCGCGUGAGUGAUGAAGGCCCUAGGGUUGUAAAGCUCUUUCACCGGUGAAGAUAAUGACGGUAACCGGAGAAGAAGCCCCGGCUAACUUCGUGCCAGCCGCCGCCGUAAGAC